CACCAGACUCCUACGGGAGGCAGCAGUGGGGAAUAUUGCACAAUGGGGGGAACCCUGAUGCAGCGACGCCGCGUGGGCGAGGAAGUAUUUCGGUAUGUAAAGCCCUAUCGGCAGGGAAGAAGAAAUGACGGUACCUGAAUAAGAAGCCCCGGCUAACUACGUGCCAGCAGCCGCGGUAAUACGUAGGGGGCAAGCGUUAUCCGGAUUUACUGGGUGUAAAGGGGGCGCAGACGGCAGCGCAAGCCAGGAGUGAAAGCCCGGGGCCCAACCCCGGGACUGCUCUUGGAACUGCGCGGCUGGAGUGCAGGAGGGGCAGGCGGAAUUCCUGGUGUAGCGGUGAAAUGCGUAGAUAUCAGGAGGAACACCGGUGGCGAAGGCGGCCUGCUGGACUGCGACUGACGUUGAGGCCCGAAAGCGUGGGGAGCAAACAGGAUUAGAUACCCUCGUAU
rnacentral:rRNA from 1 species